rnacentral:rRNA from 1 species
GCAUAUCAAUAAGCGGAGGAAAAGAAACCAACCGGGAUUGCCCUAGUAACGGCGAGUGAAGCGGCAACAGCUCAAAUUUGAAAUCUGGCUCUUUUAGAGUCCGAGUUGUAAUUUGCAGAGGGCGCUUUGGCUUUGGCAGCGGUCCAAGUUCCUUGGAACAGGACGUCACAGAGGGUGAGAAUCCCGUACGUGGUCGCUGGCUAUUGCCGUGUAAAGCCCCUUCGACGAGUCGAGUUGUUUGGGAAUGCAGCUCUAAAUGGGAGGUACAUUUCUUCUAAAGCUAAAUAUUGGCCAGAGACCGAUAGCGCACAAGUAGAGUGAUCGAAAGAUGAAAAGCACUUUGGAAAGAGAGUCAAACAGCACGUGAAAUUGUUGAAAGGGAAGCGCUUGCAGCCAGACUUGCUUGCAGUUGCUCAUCCGGGCUUUUGCCCGGUGCACUCUUCUGCAGGCAGGCCAGCAUCAGUUUGGGCGGUAGGAUAAAGGUCUCUGUCACGUACCUCUCUUCGGGGAGGCCUUAUAGGGGAGACGACAUACUACCAGCCUGGACUGAGGUCCGCACAUCUGCUAGGAUGCUGGCGUAAUGGCUGUAAGCGGUCCGUCUUGAAACACGGACC